CCACAUCAUGGAGCCAGCUCAUCGGUGAUGGCGCUGAGGCAAGAAGGGCCCUUCUCCAGGAUCAAGGAUAGCGAUAACUUUGUUACACCUGUUGCCACACUGUUUAUGUAUUCCCUCCAUCGAGAUGCAUGGAAACAUCUAUAGAAAUCUUGGGGCAUCACCAUCUGUGAUGGUAGAAAUACCUUCUUCAGGUAUCGACUGCAACUUCACUUUGACUUGUGUCAACUGAAUUUGCCCUUCUGUCUGAGAUAUAACUGAAGGCAGCCUCCCUGUGGCCCUGGACCCAACUCACUUCCGGUCUGACUUAUGAACUUCUGACCGCCCAGGACCUUGACCAACGGCUUGGGUGGGAUUUAUGGUCCAGGACUGUUUGAGUUCAUACCACUGACUGAUGGAAGCACAUGGCCACAUUUUUAUUCCUGACACUGAAAACUUUGCUGAAACCACUCUUGGGUGAAUUGCGUUGAACUUUGCCUGGCAUUUUGUGCCGGUAUUGUUUGCUGAAUACUCUAGUGAGUGCUGAGCUUAUAUUUACUGCAUGAUUUAACUGACAGAUUCCUGGAAGAGAAUGACUUGGUCAGAAUUUUUGGCAUUUACUUCAAAUCUGAGUGUUGAAAAGUUCCCAGUGGCAUGGCUGGCUGCCUGGGCUACAGUGUUGUGUUGACAGCUCCAGUCCUUUUCCUGGCAGCUGAAGACCCAAAGACAGUGACCAAUGAGAGGGUGGCAUUCUCCUCUGAACUUUUCAUUAGACUGGUGAUUCAUCUUGAGACCCACAUUUUAUGAAGGCUGUGAAUUCCAUGCAAUGUAGCUGUUGAGGUGUCUACAUUCAAAUUGGAUUCCAUUAAGUUUAUGGCGUGAUUAAAUGUCUGAAUCAUAAGGAGUCAGGGUUGGAUUUAUGUGCCUUCUGAAAGCACUUUUGAAGACUGGCAGCUUCGAUGAGUGUAAUUUGAUGCGUGGAAUCAGGAGAACAAACCUAAAGAGACAUCAACUCAGAUAUAACAAGGAUCUGAGGAUUGAGCUGACAGGUGGAAGAGAGAACAAGGAGAGACAUUGUCUGGUCUGCAGCAACACCCUUCAAGAAGCCCCCCAUUUCACUCCUGUUCACACCUCACUGCCUGGAGCUUAGUUACAUGGUCACACUUGACCACCACGUGACCUGGGACACG
rnacentral:lncRNA from 1 species